rnacentral:RNase_P_RNA from 1 species
UGUGCAAGCUGGCUUGUCGCUGUUUCGAAUAUCGGAAGAGAGGAAAGUCCGGGCAACAAAGAGCGCCAUACUUCCUAACGGGAAGGGAUCAUAUUGGAAACGGUAUGGUUACAGAAAGUGCCACAGAAAAUAUACCGUCCUGUCCUGAUAGCUAUCGGGAUCGGGAUAAGGGUGAAAUGGUGGGGUAAGAGCCCACCGUGCUGAUGGUGACAUCAGUAGCAGGGUAAACCUUAUGGGUUGAAAGACCAAAUAGGCUCCGAUCUAAGGGCUGCUCGUCCAAAUUUCUCUUUGCGAAGAGAAAUCAUCGGAGUGGGUAGGUUGAUGGAUUCCGAUUGUGAAGUCGGAACUAGAUAAAUGACAGGCAGUUUGAUUGGGAAACCAAUAGGACUACAGAACCCGGCUUAUAGGCUUGCACAUUUU